rnacentral:rRNA from 1 species
CGCGUAGGCGGUUCGUUAAGUUGCUGGUGAAAUCCCGGGGCUCAACUCCGGGGCUGCCGGCAAGACUGGCGGGCUAGAGCACGGUAGAGGCGGAUGGAAUUCCCGGUGUAGCGGUGGAAUGCGUAGAUAUCGGGAAGAAUACCGGUGGCGAAGGCGGCCCCCCUCGGUUGGAUACUGACGCUGAGACGCGAAAGCGUGGGGAGGCAAAACA